CACGUAGGGCGCAAGCGUUGUCCGGAAUUAUUGGGCGUAAAGAGCUCGUAGGCGGCCUGUUGCGUCCGCUGUGAAAUCCCGGGGCUUAACCCCGGGCGUGCAGUGGAUACGGGCAGGCUGGAGGCAGGCAGGGGAGAACGGAAUUCCCGGUGUAGCGGUGAAAUGCGCAGAUAUCGGGAGGAACACCGGUGGCGAAGGCGGUUCUCUGGGCCUGUACUGACGCUGAGGAGCGAAAGCGUGGGGAGCGAACAGG
rnacentral:rRNA from 1 species